GUGCACUUGCUUCGGCAGCACAUGUAUUCAAAGGGGAACAGUACAGAGAAAAUUAGCAUGGCCCCUGUGCAAGGAAGACAGCAGCAAAAGAAGUAUGGCUCUGGAUGGU